AGAGUUUGAUCAUGGCUCAGAUUGAACGCUGGCGGCAGGCCUAACACAUGCAAGUCGAGCGGUAGCACGGGAGAGCUUGCUCUCUGGGUGACGAGCGGCGGACGGGUGAGUAAUGUCUGGGAAACUGCCUGAUGGAGGGGGAUAACUACUGGAAACGGUAGCUAAUACCGCAUGAUGUCGCAAGACCAAAGUGGGGGACCUUCGGGCCUCACGCCAUCGGAUGUGCCCAGAUGGGAUUAGCUAGUAGGUGGGGUAAUGGCUCACCUAGGCGACGAUCCCUAGCUGGUCUGAGAGGAUGACCAGCCACACUGGAACUGAGACACGGUCCAGACUCCUACGGGAGGCAGCAGUGGGGAAUAUUGCACAAUGGGCGCAAGCCAGAUGCAGCCAUGCCGCGUGUGAAGAAGGCCUUAGGGUUGUAAAGCACUUUCAGCGAGGAGGAAGGCGUUGCAGUUAAUAGCUGCAGCGAUUGACGUUACUCGCAGAAGAAGCACCGGCUAACUCCGUGCCAGCAGCCGCGGUAA
rnacentral:rRNA from 1 species